GGCUCCGUGGCGGAUGGUCCGCGUCUGCACUUGGUGGAUGGAACAUGCUAUGUUAAUCUUGUGGAAGACGCCUGUUCGAAUCAGGCCGGAGCCA